rnacentral:rRNA from 1 species
AGAGUUUGAUCAUGGCUCAGAGCGAACGCUGGCGGCAGGCCUAACACAUGCAAGUCGAACGAACUCUUCGGAGUUAGUGGCGGACGGGUGAGUAACACGUGGGAACGUGCCUUUUGGUUCGGAAUAACUCAGGGAAACUUGUGCUAAUACCGAAUGUGCCCUUCAGGGGAAAGAUUUAUCGCCAUUAGAGCGGCCCGCGUCUGAUUAGCUAGUUGGUGAGGUAACGGCUCACCAAGGCGACGAUCAGUAGCUGGUCUGAGAGGAUGAUCAGCCACACUGGGACUGAGACACGGCCCAGACUCCUACGGGAGGCAGCAGUGGGGAAUCUUGCGCAAUGGGCGAAAGCCUGACGCAGCCGUGCCGCGUGAAUGAUGAAGGUCUUAGGAUUGUAAAAUUCUUUCACCGGGGACGAUAAUGACGGUACCCGGAGAAGAAGCCCCGGCUAACUUCGUGCCAGCCGCCGCGGUAAUAC